UCUUGCUUAUUUCCGAUUUAAAAGUAUCAAUCUGGUUUUCAAAAGACGAUGAAAAGUCAGUAAAUUGGCCACGAAGUUCGCUUGACAAAUUAGUGCUAUUAGCAGAAGGCAAAGAAAUAUUUGCUUCAACAGAGUCUUCGCUAACUAUGUUUAUUUUUUGCGAGUACAAUUUAGACAUUUGUAAGAAAGGUCUUAGUUUUAUGCAAAAAUGUGUGCUGCUCCUUAGUAAUCAUAGUCAUCGCAAACACAACAUCCAAUACUACACUGGUUUUUUUGUAUAUUGCUUGUAAAUUUAGGGCAUUUAUAAGCUUUGGUUUGCAAAGCCAUAUUUAAGGCAAAGAAAUGGUAUAUGGCAACUGAUGAGAGAAAAAUGCAACACCAAAACCAACCAGCCAAAUCCACAAAACAGCAAAUGGCGUUCAGCAACAGCCAAUGCAAAAGAAACGCAUUCACUCGUCCUUGGCGGAAAAAAACGCAUGUGAAUGGUACCAACACAAUUGCUGACACAGCCUCGGCAGAAAUGUAAACAAAAGCUCGGCGCCCAAUCACAAUUCAACCAGAAAGUUUUGCCAAUUGCAGUUCACGUGGACAAAUUCAGCUGACGUUCGCUUGUUUCAACUUACAAUUUAUAGUUGUUAGUUAUAGUAUGAAUUAGUAAAGUAAAACUGAUUGACUACACUUUAUUUUUCAAAUUAUAAUUCUUUUUUA